UGAGGAUCGUUGCCACUGGCAACGACAAGCCCAGGCCUGCCCUCUGCAUCCCGUUUCUUUCUCCAAGAGCUGUUUUUCUACGCGCUCGAGCCUUUGAGCUGUGUGUGCGGGAGAAAAAGAUGUUAAGAAAGAGGAAGUAGAGGUCGGGCACGGUGGCUCACGCCUGUAAUCUCAGCACUUUGGGAGGCCGAGAUGAGCGGAUCACCUGACGUCAGGAGUUCGAGACCAGCCUGGCCAACAUAGCAAAACCCUGUCUCUACUAAAAAUACAAAAAAAUUAGCUGGGCGUGGUGGCAGGCGUCUGUAAUCCCAGCUACUCGGGAGGCUGAGGCAGGAGAAUCACUUGAACCCGGGAGGCAGAUGUUGCAGGGAACCAAGAUUGCACCACUGCACUCCGGCCUGGGAGAUAAGAGCGAAACUGAGUCUCAAAAAAAAAAAAAAAAAAAAAGAAAGGGAAAAAGGAGGAAGUAGAAACUGCAGAAGACAAAUCUCUGUUUUAUUCUCAGUGUACCAUGGAAAGGACAAUGGAAGUUGCUGGCCAUGCCUCUGAAAACACAGGCAGCUCUGUGUCACAUUAUUGAGGAAGAUGAUAUUGGAUGUGGCUGAUUUCACAUACAGGAGCCUUGUCCUGGGACAUGGAGGAGUGUUGAGGGUGGUCACCAGAUUGCCUUUCCCAUUAACUAGGUGUGCACUAGCUGAUUCAUUAUCAUAGCGCUAAGGUCAUAGAGGGAUGACCCGAAUGAUUAUCUGCUUUGAGCAAAGAACCCACAGUUCUGGGCAAGUCACUUCACUUCUCUGUGUAAUAAAGAGAUUGAAUUAGAAGAGUGCUACGCAGCUACGGAUUCUGUGGUUCUCUAUUAAGCUACCUCGGUUCAUAUCAAAUGCGUAUCAAAUCUUUACAAACAUGUAGAAAAGCCCAGAAACAAUACUGAACAAUAUGUUUAGGGAAACAUCUCACAUUGAAAUUAGGUCAGGAAAGCAGCCCAUUAAAGACUUUUUAACGUUAAAUCAAAACUAAGGGCCGAAAAGCCUUUCUUCUUCCAUUUGUUGUGUUCCCUCAUGCUCGAAGGAAAGCUGUUGUUGUGGGGAGAAAGGAAUGUUUCCCCUUGCCAUCCUGUAGGUGGCUUCCUGCCAGGGUGGAUGGGCUCUCGCUGUAGAUUGCUAAUCCAGGUGAAAUGAGUAUUUCAAAUCACCUGUGAUGAUUUGCAUGGCAGUCUGUAAGAAGCAGUUGGGAAAGAGUGUCAGAGCCUCCUUGGUGGAAUGCAUUUGAAGAAUUUUGUAAUUACUUAUUGUUCUUACAACCUACUAUGUUACCUUUUCACCUUGUCAUUGAUUUUUCUCUUUUUAAACUGAUGUAUGAAGCCCCAAAGGUAAUUGAACUGCAAAAUAUUGUGCUAAACUAACCUUAAGUCCAAGAUGAGAGGCUUUGGAAAAAUACUUGGCUUGGUCAGGAGCUAGAACUCUAAUAGUGGGGACUAGGGGGUAGAGGGAUGAAGGGGAGGUAUAGUAUCUACUUCUAUAAUGCUGAGAUUUAAGAAUAUUUCCUUACCCGGUCCCUCAAGCCUAUCAUAAAUAUUCUAUAUUGGGUUGACAAAUUACAGCUCACAGGCUAAAUCUGGCCCUCUGCCUGUCGUGUAAAUAAAAUUUUGUUUGAACACAGCCAUGCUCACUGGAUUGUCUAUGGCUGUUUGCACCUUGCAACAGCAGAGUUGAGUAGUUGCAACAGAGACCAUGUGAUCUGCAAAGCCUAAAAUAUUUACUAUCUAGUCCUUUACAGAAAAAGGCUUUUGGCCUGUAUUAUUUAAACAAAUCCAUACGUGAGUUAUACUGAGGACUCUCUACAUGCUCAGUAGGCACCCAGUUUGUGCACAUUGUAAAUACACAAUAGAUUGGAAGCCCAGUUUCUAUUCUCAAGGAAUUUAAAAUCUAGUUGAGGAGACAAAGACUAGCAUACAUGAAAAAAUGUGAACAGUAAAAUACAGUGUAUAAUCAAGGGUUCAGCUGUGAUGUACAGGCAAGUACCAGAAUUUGGAGAAAAGGAAGGAGGAUCAGUGAGACCUCUAGUAGUUGGGGAAAGCAAUAUUUAGUAUAAAAAGUUCCAGGACACAAUAAGAGCUUGGAUGCUCCCUUGAGAUCCAUUGUAAUUGGAUGUGACCUGUAUUUCUACUCCAGUGUCAUUUAAAUCACUGUUAUUUUUGGCCUUGUGCUUAGAGGACACCUAAAUGACCAGAAAUAUUUCUGAGUGACUUUAGCUGACUGAUUUUUCUGGGAUUUGGGAUUCCUUCAAUCUCCCUAAACUACAGAAAAUUAAACCUAGCCAUAGUGGCAUAAUGUCUUUCUCUUUUGGAGACAAUACAGCAAAAUGAUUGCAAGCAUGAGCUCUGCAGUCAAAGAAACCCGUCUCAAUCUCCCUCUAGCUGUGUAAACUUGGGGAGACUCUAAAGCUCUGGGCCUCAGUUUCUUCAUCUAUAAAAUAGAGACAACAAUAGUGGUAACCUGCUAGCGUUACUGUGACAACUAGAUAAUAUAAUGCCUGUGACGUGUUUAGAAUAUAAAGUGCCUGCCUGGUAUGAAGCUAGGUCUCCAUGAGUGUUUAGUCAUUGGCCCUUGCUCCUGAGAAUAGCAAGAUUUAUAUCCUGCACAAAAGAGUCAUACUUAGUUCCAGAACAAAAAUUAGUACUUUAUCAUUUAUAAAGGCACUUAUAACAAAAUGUACUAAUGUAAAGCAAAGAAUUACUGCUCCUCAUUUUUUGGUUUACUAAUGGUUAUAAUUUUUAAUUUUUAACAAAUUGCCAUUGCCAGGCCCCUGAUUUAUUUCUGUGAUGUCCUUGGGGAUCUUGGGACCAGGAGCAUGAUGCAAAAAACACAGAUACAGAUCUCUGCUCUGAUACUAAUGCAGGAAUCUUGGGUGUUUUCAGGACCUGUUGUGACUGUCUUUGGAGGUAAGGCAGAGGGCAGUGGUACCAGCCUUGUGGGCUGGAAGGCAGCAUCUGUAGGUUCUCACCCAUUUCUGUGGGUAUGGAAGAAAUUACGUAGAAUCCAGACCAGUUUUUCUUAUCUCUAAUAAGGAGAUAAUGUUAUAACAUUUAUUUUUGUGCUUGUUGUGAGUAUUGCUGAAAGAGCUCUUAGAAACACUUUAAGUGUUUUGAUGUAAUCAUAAAAUAUGAGGCUUUAGAAGUAGGGUUUGAGCAUCCACAGAAGGCUCUGUUUUCUCUGUGGAUAAUGUCUGAUGAUAACAUUGUUUUCUGUUUUCCUUGAGGUAAUUUGAAGAUUAAAGGGAAGGGUGUUUUCCACAUUUCCUGUUGGUAAUAAAUAGCCCUCUCCCAGUGCUUUGACCUUCCCCUGCUGCUAUGGAGACUCCUAGGAGCAGUGACCAGGACUGCAGCCAGCCAGGCCCGUGUUAUUAACAGGGCUGGCUCCGUGGGCCUUCAGUAUUAGUGUAUUUAUAAACAACCCCAAACACUGAAACCACUGUUUGGUUUUGUUCGCUUUUAUUAAAAAUUAUAUGGACUUUAGAAGAAAACAACAAACUGUCAGAAAAAUAGGCAUCUUUUUUUUUUUUAACCCAAAUAAGCCUGUGUUUAGUCUAUAAUGGGAGAGUUCUUAUAAUAAGCAUAGCAACUCAUGGCUCAGCACUUUCCCAUGGAGUAGGUAGCAAGUAUUGCUUAUUCGCUUAUGAGAUAACCUUUACAUUUAAUCACUUGUCCAUUCAAUGAAUAUUUAUGAAGCUCUUACCAUGAGACAGGCACCGGGCUAGGAGCUGGGAAUAUUGCAGUGAACAAGACAGGCACAUUCCCUGCCUUCCUAGAACUUAGAGUCUCACGGGGAAAAUGGACACAUAAGCAGGUAAUCAAAAUAAAGUGCGUUGAGUGUGAAAAGUUUGGGAUGCUAUGGGAGCAUGGCAGAGGCCCAAGAGAGGCUCCAGUUUCUUUACAUGAAUUGCCAAGUGUAUCGACCUGAAGACACUGUACCUCCUGUCUUUGUGCCUAGACCAGGGUAGAAUGGUCCUAAGAGUUAGAGGCUGGUCUCAGUUAUUCUUGGACAUAAGACUUUUCUGGUUGGCUUGAGCUUUAGGCCUUACAGAGGAGCCAGAGACUUGUCUGGGUAGUGCCAUAGGUGUCAUGCUAAAGCCACCUUGUCCCCACUGGCCUUGGAGCUAGUCAGACUCAGAGCCUCCCAAGAGCACUGGGAAUGGGAGCAAUCCCUUCCUGCUCACGGACUGGCAGGUCUUGGCCCAGGGAUUCACCUAUGCAAAUAGUAUAUCCUUGAGCCACCAGUAGUUUUUACCUGCUCAGCUUUCUCCUGUUCUCCUUCUUGGAGUUUCCUUUCCCAAGAAAACAGACUGGAUCUUCUGCUUCUCCAAACCCAUCCCUCUGAGGCAGGGCUGAGAAGACCAUGUUGCUCUAUGAAAGGGCUAGUUUACCAGUCAGGGGACUCUGCUUCUGUACUCUCUCUCCCUUUACCUGGUGCCGAAAGACCAUCCUCAAUUAGGGCUGACAAGGGGCACCCGUUGGGCUACAUUUAUCCUCCUUAUUCUUAAGAAGCUACAGCUUUUACUUGCUGUACAGCAUCUAACAAAAUAAGACUGUGUUAGCUUAUCCCAGCCCCAAGUUUUCUGUAGUGGAGGCUGAAAAC
rnacentral:lncRNA from 1 species